GAUGAACGCUAGCGGCAGGCUUAACACAUGCAAGUCGAGGGGCAGCGCGGGAUAGCAAUAUCCUGGCGGCGACCGGCGGAAGGGUGCGUAACGCGUGAGCGACAUGCCCGUUGCCCGGGGACAACCGGUGGAAACGCCGACUAAUCCCCGAUGGGAUAUUGUGCCGCAUGGCACGAUAUUGAAAGUUACGGCGGCGACGGAUUGGCUCGCGUCCGAUUAGCUGGUUGGCGGGGUAACGGCCCACCAAGGCUGCGAUCGGUAGGGGUUCUGAGAGGAAGGCCCCCAACAAUGGGACUGAGACACGGCCCAUACUCCUACGGGAGGCAGCAGUGAGGAAUAUUGGUCAAUGGGCGGAAGCCUGAACCAGCCAUGCCGCGUGCGGGAAGGAGGCCCUAUGGGCUGUGAACCGCUUUUGCCUGGGGGCAAUAAGGGCGUCGCGCACGUCCGAUGAGAGGACCAGGCGAAUAAGCAUCGGCUAACUCCG
rnacentral:rRNA from 1 species